rnacentral:rRNA from 1 species
GACGAACCGUGCGAACGUUGUUCGGAAUCAUUGGGCGUAAAGCGCGUGUAGGCGGCCAGGUAAGUCCGUUCUGAAAGCCCGGGGCUCAACCCCGGGAGGCGGAUGGAUACUGCUUGGCUCGAGUCCGGAAGAGGCGAGUGGAAUUCCCGGUGUAGCGGUGAAAUGCGCAGAUAUCAGGAGGAACACCAAUGGCGAAGGCAGCUCGCUGGAACGGUACUGACGCUGAGGCGCGAAAGCGUGGGGAGCAAACAGG